UUUUUUUUUGGCCAUAAUUCUAUUUUCUUUUUUUAAAUGUCAUCUACCAACUUAUUUUCUAUCUUCCUCUUAACCGCCCAUUUCUAUCAUCCACCAGUUUAUCACAUCCUCCAACUCAAAUGGGUGCAUUCUCAGUGACGGUGAGGGUACAAACUUAGUUUCUCUCUUCUUAAUGUUCAAUUCCACCAUUGAUGCGUUCUCAUCAAAACUUCAAUUUAUUGCUGCUGCUACGUGAAUUUUGCAGCUUAAUUUGUACUUAUUGUUGCUGUCUGCUACGCUUUCAUCGUGGUUUUCUCCUUAAAAGUUUAAUUCCUCCAUUGACGCCCAAUACAGUGCCCUAAUUUUAAAGAUCUUGGAUUGGUUUUCUUGCUAAUAGUAUGGCAUUAUUUCAUCAUAGUCUAUUUGUAAAUAGUAAUGUUGCGACACAUUGGUGGAUGGUUCAAUUCAGUACGUACUCAUAGGAAUGCAUUGAUUCUCAAUCCCAUCGGUUAGUUACAUGUUACAGAUUGCUGCUCUAUUGCAUAAUUCCAUUGGACCAUAUACAUGUAAUGCUAAAAUAAAUGUAAUAUGAUAGAUUUGUAUGACAGUCCAAUCCGCUUCUAUAUGCUGUUGAGUGCCUCUACAGCUCACUGCACUCAAUAAGGUUUAUACUUGGUUAAGCAAUCAUUGGGCAGGUUACAUAUCCAAAUAUGAUGGAACUUUUUGAGAGCCUAGGCAUUGAAAUGGAGAUUGGGAAAAUCGAACUGGUCUAAGUGGCUUGGUUGCACAAAAAAGCAAUGCAAUUAAUCCUUACUUUUGGAAGAUGAUCCAAGAGAUGCUCAAGUUCAAAACUGAAGUCAUUAUGUUAGACUUUUUGAUUCUUACCUUUUCAUUCUAUGUUUUAACUCCUAUAUGUUGGGUAUUAUUCCUUUUUAUACCUAAAGAACCUUUUAAAACUGAAGUCAUUAUGUAAGACUUAAUUGAAAUAAUCAAGUUCGAUGAAUUUAAAUAUUGUUGAGUUGAAUGUUUUAAUCGUUUUCUACAGGUUGAAAUAGCCAAAUCUACGAGAAAGGUGGUGCUGCUCUCUUAGUGUUCUGACAGUUGAGAAAUUUUUUCAAGUAAUGACAUCAUUUUCAAUUCAAUCUCCAGGUUUUCUUCUGCUUAUUUUGCAUCUCUAUAGCAUAAUAUCUGAAAUUUUACUAUGUUUAUUGGAGAUAUGUUUGUCUACUGUCAGGAUUGUGCAUCAUUCUAAGAAGAAAUCAGGUAGGGCAAACUUGUACUUGAGAAUUUGGUUUUGAUAUUGUCUACAUUUGCCAUCGUUUUUGCCUUAUCAAACCUCAUAAUGCUUCAUUUCUUAUUAGACUUGUAUGUUGUAUGCUUCAAAUCUUUAGUGGUCAAUUUUAAUCUUUGAUGUUAAAAAAAAGGCGGAAUGACAUUUCAAAGAUCCAUGAGGAAUGAAAUUUUGAUCAUCAUUUUUUCCUUAGGUUUUACAAAUUGUAAUGCUGUUGACAAUAUAAAAUAUACUCAAAUUUGAUCAUCAUUUUUUUUUCAUUUUUUUUGGCAAUCUGUUCUGAAUUUUUGAAAGAGUGCACACUAGUUGAAAAAUGUACAUUUGUAUCCCUGGAAAUCACAUAAUGGAGGUAUCAGCUUGCUUCUCUCUAUUACUAAUCCAAUAAAUACUGCUAAUUACUAUGUGUUGAUUAUGUUCUGAUUUUGGUCCCUAAUAAAAUAUUUUGUGGACGUUUAACUGAGUUGAUCUAAACCAUCAAACCCUGCGAAUUAAGUAGAUGCAAUUGCUUGAAGAUUUUUCCUACUGAAUUGAUCUAACCCAUCAAACCCUGUACUAAACAUGCUCAACUACGCUACACCUAAUCAUUUACUGAUCCUCUAGAAUCUCAGCCUGACUUGUACUCAAGUACUAAUCUGAUCUAGAUGAUCAGACCCGUGUAUGCACAACUGAUCUGGUGUAAAACCCAUCAGACAUGACCUUCUUUUAAACUUACCUACAUAACCGCACUCUCUAGCACUAGUUGUACCUUUGAUGACUGGCAUUGAAGAGAUUAUUUAUGAUUAUUCUGUCAGAAUUUUUAUCGCUUGAUGAUUUUUGUAGCUAUAUAUUAAUGAUCUUUUUGAGGCUAAUGUGAGCUUUUAUGCAAUAUUAUAUUUUUGUUCUGGAGUAUUCUACAUGAACUUAUCUAGUCGUGUACAAUUUCAGGUUGUAAGGCACAUAUGACAUCUUGCAAAACAUCCUAGAAGAAAAAUUCAGGGUUUUGUUGCUGCUAAUUUGAUUGAAACUUGGAAAAACAUUAUAAUUGCGGGAACAGUACAGAAGAAACUUGUUCAAUUUAAGAAAGUCGAGCGUGUAAAUGUUCGACUUAUCUAGGAUAGUUGAUCAAUACUGUAGAUCUUAGUUGGCUUUGGUCUUUAUUUAGCUGGUGCUGCAGUUGUUUUGUGCUCCUGUUGAUUCCGGGUGGUCUUAGUUGCGGUGUAGUGUUAGUGUUUGUGAUUGGUUUGUGCAAUUUUUCUUGUUAUCCUUUUGCCAAGAGUUGUAUAGCUUUAUAAAAGAUAUACUUUUGUUAAUCUAUUAUAUUUAAUAAAAUUAGAAAUUUUUGUUUAUUCUACUUAGUUUUAUUU